GCGGCCUAUCAGCUUGUUGGUGGGGUGAUGGCCUACCAAGGCGACGACGGGUAGCCGGCCUGAGAGGGCGACCGGCCACACUGGGACUGAGACACGGCCCAGACUCCUACGGGAGGCAGCAGUGGGGAAUCUUGCGCAAUGGGCGAAAGCCUGACGCAGCGACGCCGCGUGAGGGAUGACGGCCUUCGGGUUGUAAACCUCUUUCAGCCCUGACGAAGCGAAAGUGACGGUAGGGGCAGAAGAAGCACCGGCCAACUACGUGCCAGCAGCCGCGGUAAUACGUAGGGUGCAAGCGUUGUCCGGAAUUAUUGGGCGUAAAGAGCUCGUAGGUGGCCUGUCGCGUCGGCUGUGAAAACUCGGGGCUCAACUCCGAGCUUGCAGUCGAUACGGGCAGGCUAGAGUGCGGCAGGGGAGACUGGAAUUCCUGGUGUAGCGGUGAAAUGCGCAGAUAUCAGGAGGAACACCGGUGGCGAAGGCGGGUCUCUGGGCCGAUACUGACACUGAGGAGCGAAAGCGUGGGGAGCGAACAGGAUUAGAUACCCUGGUAGUCCACGCCGUAAACGUUGGGCGCUAGGUGUGGGAUCCCUUCCACGGGUUCCGUGCCGCAGCUAACGCAUUAAGCGCCCCGCCUGGGGAGUACGG
rnacentral:rRNA from 1 species